ensembl:lncRNA
AAAGUCCCCAGUUGGGCCACGACGCCUGCGCCGACUGAAGACGUAGCCUCCCCACUCAGGCUCCGAGUUUAUUGCGCCUGCGCAGACGCCGGCCGCCUUCGUUCGUUUCUUUUCCUUUUCCACGUGACCCGGCGCUAGCGGUACACGUGUCUCCCCUCCCCCUCCCUCGGGCGGAGUGCGCGGAGGGGGCGGGCGCCGUGGAAUGUCUUUGUCUGCGCUCGGGCCCGCGGAGUGUGCGGCAGGAGACCUGUUAUUCGUGGGCCACGCCUCCUUCAACGGCCGAGCCUGGGGAGGUCCCGGGGGAACGGUGCUGCUGUGUGGUUCGGGGGCCGCCUCUCCAGCAAGGAAAUGAAAGGAACGCUUCUGGAGAGAGGGGAACGCGAGGAUUAGAGCAAAGCGAGGCCGAAAGAGAGGGAAAGACUGCGCGAACGGGAUGGGAAGAUGGGGAUGCUGGGAGAGGCUGACCCCGGGUGGGUGUGAGAAAGGGAAGCCAGGAAUGGGAAAUAGAAGACUAAAUGCUAUGUAUUGCAGAACUGAAACUCAGAAGGGGUCAGUCAGAGACGCAAACAACGGAAAAAAAGGGCUCCCUCCAUUCCCAAGUAGAGCAUCCAGGAAGUCAGACACCAAGAUUUCUAUUAGAGCAGGUUCAAAUUUGAAAGCCUCAGAACAGAAAAAGGCGCCAAAAAACCCAGUCCCGAAUUCUUGACUGUCCUAAUCCACCUCAUCUGAAGUCACCAGCUACCCAAAUCUCUCCCUCUCCCUUGAUGACCCCAGCCCAGCCUGUGGUAGACACAUCAUUUUUAUUGCCUACACUCUUAUUGAAAACUUACCAGCCAUAGUCUGCCCCUGAUUUAUUCCGGUACUCUGAGGCUGGUGGUCUCGCCUGGGAGCCCAUUCCCAAAUAAACAUGCCUUUUUUAUUUUUUUAAUUCGUCUUGAAUUGACUUAGUUCAUUGGGGGAAAAACUAUCAUCAACCUGAGUUCUAUCCCCUGGCCCAAAAUAGGAGAGAACCAAUUCUCCCAAGUUUUGACCUCUACAUGCACAUAGUGGCCUUCACGUCUACCCCUACUAAGGGAAUGAGGUGGUUAUCCUUCAUAGUGUUCUGAGGAGGGAGAGCCACAGAAUUACCUCAAGUUUGAGACAAGUCUGGCCUACAUACACAGCUCCAGGCCACCUAGGAUAUCGAAGGGACACCCUGUCCCCCAAAAGCAAACUAAGAAGCUUCUCAGGUCGCUGGCAUACACACAGUCCUAGCACGGGUUAGACUGAAGCAUUCUGUUGCCACCUUCCGUUUAUUCUGUAAAACAGUGAGUACGGGCCCAGUCUUAGACCAUGUUGGCUGUCUAGUUCUCAGAGCUCCUACUACUGGUAUGAAUGCUAGUCUUUCACUACGGAUCCUAUUGCCCUCUCUCAAAAAGACAAACGCGUUUUCUUCCCUUAACAUUUUCACCGUAGAGUCCUGGCUGUCCCAGGACUCACUCUGAAACCCCAGGGUAGCUUUCAACUCACAGCAAUUCAGUCUUAAUCUUCAGAAUGCUGGAACAACAGGACACAAAUCACCAUGAGACAGACACUACUGCUCUAAUACCUCACAGUCUCCAGGGUAUUCCCUUCAUCCUGGGGUGAUGUAUGCAGAUGGAGCCCAAAUCUCUCCCAUGAACAGUCUGAGGCAGAGACGUCAAGAUGGCUAAGCUGCUUAGACUGUUGUCAG